rnacentral:rRNA from 1 species
AAAAUAUGAAAUGCAGAACACAUUGAACAUCGACACCUUGAACGCACAUGGCGGCCUCGGGUCCAUCCCGGGGCCACGCCCGUCUGAGGGUCG